UUUCUUUUCUUCUUCUCUCUAUACGUUGGUGUUCUAACCAAUAAUCACCGAUGCGAUGUUCUGUCCGAUCGAUUCAGGAACCAACUAACGGAUGCCAAAGUGCUAUACUUUGAGAGUUCGUUAAACGGAUGCCAAAGUACUAUACUUUGAGAGUUCGUUAAACGGAUGCCAAAGUACUAUACUUUGUGAUUUCGGUAAACGGAAUCCAAAGUGUUACACUUUGUGAAAUUCAUUAAGGUUCGAAUCUCGUGACUACCGUUAAGGUUUGAUUUGGGUUUUACACAAAUACGUAUUCCAUUCUGUUAAACUAUAUGUUUAACUACCAAAAAUACUCCCAACUACACACUCACAAUCAAACAAACUAUUAAAACAUCAGAAGAUCCAGAAUAAUAAAGUGCAUGCUUAAUUAUCGGAAGAAGUAGAAUCAAGAAGCUUGUUAACUCAAUCUUGCAUGCUUAUAAAGUAAUUACAGUAGAUUAGAGUAAGGAUUGGAUCC
rnacentral:lncRNA from 1 species